rnacentral:misc_RNA from 1 species
UGCAAAUUAGUAACUAUUCUAGAUUGUAAGGAAUUAAAAUGACUGGCUAUUUUAAAAUGAAAUUAUCAUUUUACAUAAUUAGAUGGCUAGGUGUCAAGUUCUAGUACUCCUUUAAAAGACUGUCUUGGUUCACAAUCCCUGCCUCCUAAAAUGGAAAAAGAAGAACAUUUAUUUUAUUUUUCAUGCAUGUUUUGUCCCUGUUUACAACAUAUUUGAACAAAAUCCGUCUACUAUAUUAGGAAUUUUCUGAGGAAUACAUUGCUUGGAAUUUCUAUUAAGUGCAGUGGUAGGUCCUAUGCUUUACAUGAGUUAGAAUACUUAGAAUUAUUUUCAUACCUUAGGAGUUUUCAACCUUGAAGGUAUUUUUAUAAUGCAUACCCAACCUCUUAUUAGACCUUCAAUGUUAUUUCCACCAUUUACCGAAGUUAUCUGCUGCCAAAAAAAAA